UGGGGAAUUUUGGACAAUGGGCGCAAGCCUGAUCCAGCAAUGCCGCGUGUGUGAAGAAGGCCUUCGGGUUGUAAAGCACUUUUGUCCGGAAAGAAAACUUCUGGGUUAAUACCCUGGGAGGAUGACGGUACCGGAAGAAUAAGCACCGGCUAACUACGUGCCAGCAGCCGCGGUAAUACGUAGGGUGCAAGCGUUAAUCGGAAUUACUGGGCGUAAAGCGUGCGCAGGCGGUCCGUUAAGACAGAUGUGAAAUCCCCGGGCUUAACCUGGGAACUGCAUUUGUGACUGGCGGACUCGAGUAUGGCAGAGGGGGGUAGAAUUCCACGUGUAGCAGUGAAAUGCGUAGAGAUGUGGAGGAAUACCGAUGGCGAAGGCAGCCCCCUGGGCCAAUACUGACGCUCAUGCACGAAAGCGUGGGGAGCAAACA
rnacentral:rRNA from 1 species